UACAGAGGGUGCGAGCGUUAAUCGGAAUUACUGGGCGUAAAGCGCGCGUAGGCGGCUUUGCAAGUCGGGUGUGAAAUCCCCAGGCUUAACCUGGGAACUGCAUUCGAGACUGCAUUGCUAGAGUAUGGGAGAGGGAAGUGGAAUUUCCGGUGUAGCGGUGAAAUGCGUAGAUAUCGGAAGGAACAUCAGUGGCGAAGGCGACUACCUGGCCUGUUCUUGACGCUGAGGCGCGAAAGCUAGGGGAGCAAACGGG
rnacentral:rRNA from 1 species